GCCCCUACUAGCUCCGCCCACAGCUGUGUCCGGAAGCAGCAAGCGUGCCUGGGCAGAGACCCCCAGAGUGUAAAGAGGUCCUGGGACAGGCUUUGCACGUUCCACAAGAGUGUCUCGCUGUGUCGUCUAGACUGGAGUGCAGUGGUGUGAUCAUGGCUCAACUCCUAGGCUCAAGCGAUCCUCCUGCCUCAGCCUCCGGAGUAGCUGCUGGGACUGCAGGAACGUGCCACCAUGCCUGGCUCAAACACAAAGUUUUUUCAUAAAACUCACUUGGCGGCAAAAUUCUACCUUACCUGAAGUUAUUUACGGGGUUUUUAAUUUCCACUUUGAAUAAAUAUUCACAUCUUGUUGAGUAGUA
ensembl:lncRNA novel transcript, antisense to RABGGTAand DHRS1